CGCGUGUCCGAGGGGUGUCCCAUGUGGGGCUGAGAUGGCGCGAGCCGAACCCUUUGAACCUGAUCCGGGUCAUGCCGGCGAAGGGACGGAAAGGGUGCCGCCG
rnacentral:ncRNA from 2 species